GAAAACUGAGGGCGGAACAGGCGGCCGCCACCGGAGAGCAUCAGCUCGAUUAGGAGAUGUGGGAUUGUCACCCCACCUUUUUC
rnacentral:ncRNA from 1 species